rnacentral:rRNA from 1 species
UACGAAGGGGGCUAGCGUUGCUCGGAAUCACUGGGCGUAAAGGGUGCGUAGGCGGGUCUUUAAGUCAGGGGUGAAAUCCCGGAGCUCAACUCCAGAACUGCCUUUGAUACUGAAGAUCUUGAGUUCGGGAGAGGUGAGUGGAACUGCGAGUGUAGAGGUGAAAUUCGUAGAUAUUCGCAAGAACACCAGUGGCGAAGGCGGCUCACUGGCCCGAUACUGACGCUGAUGCACGAAAGCGUGGGGAGCAAACAGG